UUGGAUGGAGACCACGGUGCAAGGAAGAGGAUGAUCUCUAGCCUGGACCUUCCUGAAGACAGGGCUCCUGAGGAGCAAUGUGUGGGACCCAGGACCUUCUCAUGCCACGUUGUUCGGCUGAAGGAGGGACACCUGGACCAAACGGAGAAGCCCACCCUGCUCCAAGACAUGGAGAGGGGCUGUGGUGGCUUCGGGGGUGACAGGUCACCCUCCCCGAGGCGGGUUAGGCGUGUGUGGCAGGCAGAGCACUCUGUGAGAGGACACGGUGUUAGCGGGACCGGCCGGGCGGGCCGCGGCUCAGCGCCUUCUUACCCUUCCAGAGUUUCCCUCCAGGACAGAACAAAAGCAAAGAGGAAACCAAGAGGAAAGAGCAGCGUGAGCAUAUGGCCAUUAAGAGAAAGGAACAGGGGGACAGGGGAAGAGUACAAAUCCAUACCUGUGAUGGUGAAGCCACC